CCCGACUGCUAUCGGGGUGGCGCUAAGCCAUGGGAGUCGCACAUCCCACCGCCGUGGGGUGUGGCGAACGGCUGAGUAACACGUGGCUAACCUACCCUCGGGACGGGGACAACUCCGGGAAACUGGAGCUUAUCCCCGAUAGGCGGGGAGUCCUGGAACGGUUCUCCGCCCAAAGGGAUGGGAGGGGGUUAUCGCCUUCUAUCCGCCCGAGGAUGGGGCUGCGUCCCAUCAGGUUGUUGGCGGGGUAACGGCCCGCCAAGCCUAUAACGGGUAGGGGCCGUGAGAGCGGGAGCCCCCAGAUGGGCACUGAGACAAGGGCCCAGGCCCUACGGGGCGCACCAGGCGGGAAACCUCCGCAAUGCGGUAACCCGUGACGGGGUCACCCCGAGUGCUCCCCUUAUGGGGAGCUUUUCCCCGCUGCAGGAAGGCGGGGGUAAUAAGUGGGGGGCAAGACUGGUGUCAGCCGCCGCGGUAAUACCAGCCCCACGAGUGGUCGGGACGGUUAUUGGGCCUAAAGCGCCCGUAGCCGGCCCAGCAAGUUCCUGCCUAAAUCACCGGGCUCAACCCGGUGACUGGUGGGAAUACUGCUGGGCUAGGAGGCGGGAGAGGCCGGGGGUACUCCUAGGGUAGGGGCGAAAUCCUAUAAUCCUAGGAGGACCACCAGUGGCGAAGGCGCCCGGCUGGAACGCGCUCGACGGUGAGGGGCGAAAGCUGGGGGAGCAAACCGGAUUAGAUACCCGGGUAGUCCCAGCUGUAAACGAUGCGGACUAGGUGUUGGACGGACCUAGGGUCCGUCCAGUGCCGCAGGGAAGCCGUUAAGUCCGCCGCCUGGGGAGUACGACCGCAAGGCUGAAACUUAAAGGAAUUGGCGGGGGAGCACCACAAGGGGUGGAGCCUGCGGCUUAAUUGGAGUCAACGCCGGGAACUUUACCGGGGGCGACAGCAGGAUGACGGCCAGGCUAAUGACCUUGCCCGACGCGCUGAGAGGAGGUGCACGGCCGUCGCCAGCUCGUGCCGUGAGGUGUCUGGUUAAGUCCAGCAACGAGCGAGACCCCCGCCCCUAAUUGCUACCCGCUCCUUCGGGAGCGGGGCACAUUAGGGGGACUGCCGGCGUCUAAGCCGGAGGAAGGUGGGGGCCACGGCAGGUCAGCAUGCCCCGAAACCCCCGGGCUGCACGCGGGCUACAAUGGCUGGGACAGCGGGAACCGACCUCGAAAGAGGAAGGUAAUCCCUCAAACCCAGCCGCAGUUGGGAUCGAGGACUGAAACCCGUCCUCGUGAACGAGGAAUCCCUAGUAACCGCGCGUCAUCAUCGCGCGGUGAAUACGUCCCUGCUCCUUGCACACACCGCCCGUCGCUCCACCCGAGUGGGGAGAGGGUGAGGCCCUGCUCCGAAUGGGGUAGGGUCGAACCCUCUCCCUGCGAGGGGGGAG
rnacentral:rRNA from 1 species